GAAAGUGGCUAGCUUUGUCAAAUGUGAUAGGGAGAUCAAAGAUAACCCAGGAUGGUAAGGAAUGAGUAAGCAUUGAGUCUGGCAAGUAGGUACCUGGGCGUCCUGGCGCAAGAUGCGAGUCUACAUGUCUAGCUUUGCAGGUUUGCCUUGGCAGGGAGCACCUGUUUAUUUGUCAAAAACGUCCUGGCCAGCCUGUCCUCCUAGAGACCCCACAUUAUGCCCCAUGCUUCAGGGUCAGUAGCCAUUUGAUUUGUUCCUUUCAUAGUUGUAUCUUUAUUUCAUUGUAAUAAUAAUACCUGCUGAUCAUAAAGAUAAAUACCAAACAAUACAGAAAGAUAUAAGGCAGAAAAAAUCACUUCUGUUCCCUAUGGUUAAUAGUUUGGGUUUAGGCUUUCGUGUUUUUGUUUGUGUGUGUGAGUAUGUACGUAUGUAUAAGGAAAAUGUUUUCAUAUAUGGAAUCAUUUAAUCAUAUUGUGUAACUUACAAAUUUUUAGCAAUAUAUUGGGAAUAUACUUACAUAAUAGCACCAUCAUACUUUGUUGCCUUAUUUAGGUGCUAGACAAAUUCUCAAAAGAACACCAUAAGACAAUUACUAUUAAUGGUUCCAUUUUAUAAAUAGAGCAGUUGAAUCUUAGAAAAUUUAAGUGACUUAUCUGAUGCCACAAAAC